rnacentral:rRNA from 1 species
GAGGAGCCUGUCCUAUAAUCGAUAACCCCCGUUUAACCUCACCACUUUUUGCCUUUCAGUCUGUAUACCUCCGUCGUCAGCUUACCACGUGAGUGAAGUAAAGUAAGUUCAAUGUCUUAUUUCACGUCAAUACGUCAGGUCAAGGUGCAGCUAAUAAAGUGGGAAGAGAUGGGCUACACUCUCUAAUUUAGAAUAUACGAAAGACUACUAUGAAAACUAGUCUAAAGGUGGAUUUAGCAGUAAAAAAAGACCAGAGUGCUUUUUUUAACUAGGCCCUGGGGUGUGUACACACCGCCCGUCACCCUCUUCGUAGCCAAAAAUUUAGUAACUAACAAAAUUUGCACAAUAGAAGAGGUAAGUCGUAACAUGGUAAGUAUACCGGAAGGUGUGCUUGGAAA